rnacentral:lncRNA from 1 species
UGUAAGUAUCACAGUAAGAUAUUAUUCAAAAAGAAGACAAAAUAUAAAUUAGAAAGCUAUAAAGGAGACUUUCUGUAAAUAUUAUUUGAUUUAGAAAACUAAUCACAAUUGUCAUUUUGUCAGCCGUUUAAGAGAGCUUCGUUGAAACAUUGCCAUAUUAAGUAUAACUAAACAAAAUGCGUGCAUUUACAUAUUGAAUUGAUUUUUGUUUAAUUUUGUUUAGGUUUUACAUGAUAUUAUUUGGUAAUUUCUUGUUGCUUUGUUAAAUGUUGUUUAGAGUUCAUUAAAAAAAAAAUACGUACCGCUAAAUUUUCUAAAAAAAAAAAAUGAGUAAAUAGUCACCAUGCAAUUUGCACCCUACUUUAAUAUGCUUCUAAUGUAUUUGAAUAAAAAGUCUUAAUAAUAAAACGUCCUACGGAUAUAAAGUAUAUUAAAAACUGCCAUUGCAUAGUAUAUUUAAAUAUAUAUUCUAUUGAUAAACAAAGAAAAUCAUUAAUUUACUACAAAUGCACGAACAAAAUUAUACACAAAAAAGAAAAAAAUAUCCUCUUGUUAAAAAAAUAAAUGCUAUCACAGAUAAUUAAUAUGAAAAUUAGUUUUUACUUUUAUGUCGCAAGAGUUUCUGUGAAAUCUUAAAUAAAGGUUACUACUAAUAUAAAUUAAUAUUCUUAAUUAACAUAUACCUAAACUUCACGAGGCCUAUAGCUAAUUGGUACCUUGAGUAAACUAACUCGGGGCACUUUUCACAAAAUAAUCUUACGACAAAAAAAUCAAAGUUAAACUGAAACUUAUCAUGACUUACGGUUAGUUUUUUUCGUAAGAUUUUUUUACACAAAAUGAGUCGACGAUCUGUAUUUCAUAAUAUAAAAACAACAAAAAGUAAAUAAGAUAUAAAAUAGAAUAGACUUGCAUGUAUCACAGAUAUAUAAAAAAAAAAA